rnacentral:lncRNA from 1 species
CGGGUCAGAAAAUCAUAAACCUGAACCCGACCUGUUUAUUAAACAGGUCAGAAAAUCACAACCUGAACCUGACCUGUUUAAUAAACAGGUAACCUGAUCCGACCCGUUUAACCUGUUUAAUAAACAGAUAACCUGUUUACCCGAACCGACCCGUUUAACCCGUUUAACCUAUUUAAUCCAUUUAACCUGUUUUCUAAAUCGAAUAGUCAUCCAUUAAUGCUGCCAUUUCAUAUAGACAUAAUGAAUAAAAAUCAGGUAAGCUGCCCAUUCAAUUACUGCUAUAUUACUAUUUUAAAACAAUUUUUGCAACAGUUUUUGGGUUUAUACAUACUUCAUAAAGACAUCCAAACACCCAGACAAAAGGAAUUUAUUAAGUAUCAAAGACAAAAUGCAAAAGAGGCGCAACAAGGAUCUGCCGUAAGGAAGGUUCUAGCCAGAUUAUGCCAGCAAAAAAGAACCAGUAGUAGAAUAAUCCCAUAGCUAACAACUUCAAUCAUCCACGGCGAAAGCAAUAUCCUGACAAGCGAAUGCAUGCAUAUGUUGGAAUCACUAGAUUAUAAAAAGCAAACACUGCAGGAAAAAUUAAUAUGAUAGACAGCAGAAAACU